rnacentral:rRNA from 1 species
GUAGGAGGCAAACGUUAUCCGGAUUUACUGGGCGUAAAGCGCGUGUAGGUGGUACUGUAAGUAGGGCGUGAAAGCUCCUGGCUCAACUGGGAGAGGCCGUUCUAAACUACAGAACUAGAGGAUGGUAGAGGGAGGUGGAAUUCCAGGUGUAGCGGUGGAAUGCGCAGAUAUCUGGAGGAACACCGGUGGCGAAGGCGGCCUCCUGGACCAUUCCUGACACUCAGACGCGAAAGCUAGGGUAGCAAACGGGAUUAGAGACCCCGGUAGUCCUAGCCCUAAACGAUGUAGACUAGGCGUCGGAAGCUUAAUCGCUUUCGGUGUCCAAGCUAACGCGAUAAGUCUACCGCCUGGGGACUACGGCCGCAAGGUUAAAACUCAAAGGAAUUGACGGGUCCCCGCACAAGCAGCGGAGCGUGUGGUUUAAUUCGUUGCUACACGAAGAACCUUACCUGGGUUUGACAUAGCAGUGGUAGGGAAGCGAAAGCGGACCGACCCUUCGGGGAGCUGUUACAGGUGUUGCAUGGCUGUCGUCAGCUCGUGUCGUGAGAUGUUCGGUUAAGUCCGCUAACGAGCGCAACCCGCGUUGUGUGUUACAAGUGUCACACAAUACCGCCGGUAUUAAGUCGGAGGAAGGUGCGGAUGACGUCAAGUCAGCAUGACCUUUAUAUCCAGGGCUACACACACGCUACAAUGGUCAGCACAAUAGGUUGCCAAGUCGUGAGACGGAGCCAAUCCUCCAAAGCUGGCCUCAGUUCAGAUUGCAGGCUGCAACUCGCCUGCAUGAAGUUGGAGUUGCUAGUAACCGCAGGUCAGCUAUACUGCGGUGAAUACGUUCCCGGGGAUU